ACAUACACUGUAGACAGUGUUCCUUUGCUCCGCUUCUUGAGCACUGUCGCUCCAGCUAGCUAGCAAGGAGGACUCACAGCAGACGGGGGCGCAACCGUAUGUUAGCUAAUUAGCUAGAACACGAUGUCGUUAACUCAAACUAGCUAGUUAGUACACCGUGUCCUCGCCCCCAUCUGUCAGCCACGGUUUUCUCCGGUACAGAGCAGGAGGGGGUGACACCGGGUGCUAGCUAACUAGCAACCUAGCUAGUCCGCGGGGGGCGGCUGGUAGACGGUGUCCUUCGCCCCCGCCUGUUGGGUAGUGUUUUCCCCAAGUUUUGUUUGUCUGUCCAUGUGGAGAAAUGCAGCUAAAGUGAGAGGCAACUUACCUGUUUGGUCAGGGCCAGCAUGAGGGUUAAAGUUUAUCCUGUGUCGGUGAAUGUAGCUAUUUAGUUAAGUUUGAGCAUCAUAGCAAUACAAUGUCUUCUUUUCAGCUGUCAACAUUCUACAAGGAAAGAGACUUAGUCAAUGAUAUAAUCAUUGACCCGGGUACUAGACAGUUGAGUGGUAAAUCAGUCCGAGACCGUUGUCAUUGAGAAUUAAUCUAAAAAUCUAUUGAUAUUCAGAAUUGACUUUGUUUAGACAUCCAGCCUGUAUUAUAGUUGCAUGACCAGAGACAAAUCUUCAGCACAUUGUUCAUUUAUUCGGAGUGUUACAGGCAUUCAGUUUUGAUUUAUAGGAUCCUUCCCACUAUAGGAUUGAUAUGUCAAGUGAUAAAAUCCUAAAUUAUUAAUUAAAAGUUUAUGGAAAACUUCACUUGUUCUCAAUAUAAACGCAACAUGCAACGAUUUUACUGAGUUACAGUUCAUAUAAGGAAAUAAUAACAUUUAAAUAUAUGUAUUAGGCCUCCAUCUAUGGAUUUCACAUGACUGGUAAUACAGAUAAGCAUCUGUUGGUCACAGAUACAGUGCCUUUGGAAAGUUUUCAGACACUUUGACUUUUUCCACAAACAGGACCUUUUUCACCUUCCAACAGGACAUCGACCCUAAGCACACAGCCAAGACAACACAGUAGUGACUUCAGGACAAGUCUCUCAAUGUCCUUGAGUGUCCCAGCCAGAUCCCGGACCUGAACCCGAUCAAACAUCUCUGGAGAGACUUGAAAAUAGAUGUGCAGCGACACUCCCUAUCCAACCUGACAGAGCUUGAGAGAAUCUGCAGAGAAGAAUGGGAGAAACUCACCAAAUACAGGUGUGCCAAGCUCGAAGCAUCAUACCCAUGAAGACUCAAGGCUGUAAUCGCUGCCAAAGGUGCUUCAACAAAGUACUGAGCAAAGGGCCUGAAUACUUAUGUGGACUCCAAUCAAGUUGUAGAAACAUCUCAAGGAUGAUCAAUGGAAACAGGAUGCACCUGAGCUCAAUUUCAAGUCCCAUAGCAAAGGGUCUUAAUACUUAUGUAAAUAAUGUAUUUCUGUUCAAAUUAUUUUAUGAAUUUGCAAAAAUGUAAAAAAAAAAAGAAAAAAAAAAAGGUUUUCACUUUGAAAUUCUGGAAUAUUGUGUGUAGAUUGCUAAGGAUUUGUAUAUAUUUAGUACAUUUUAGGAUAAGGCUGUAACGUAACAAAAUGUUGAAAAAGUCAAGGGGACUGAAUACUUUCUGAAGGCACUGUACAUAUACAUAUAUUAAUACAUUUGUUUGUGAAAUUAGUCUGCGGGCCUACAAGAAUGUCACUACACCCACAAUAACAUCUGCUAAAUAUGUGUAUGUGACCAAUAACCUUUAAUUUGAUGGACGCCAGUUACCCAUCCCUGUAUUAAAUGAAUCAAGCCCUAGCUGUGAAGCCCAACUUUUUUUUGGCCACAAAUGUUUAUUUGUGUUACAGUGCCCUCUUUUGUUCCUACACUUCUAAUAUUUGUCUUCACUGAAUGAUGUGGUCUUAUGAAAAGGGAACAGAUCUAUUUCUCUACUAUUAGUGUUCCUGUGGUUUGUGGUGCGUUAGUAAUCAGUGAGCUUAUCUUCAAUGGUGGAGAAAAAUGAAAACAUCUUCUACUGACAGACAGGGUGUUUUUGUAGGUUUUAGUUUGUAUAUGAAAUUAACAUUGGUUGAUGUACACACUAGAGAACUCUGUACUGAUUCGUUCCCCAAUGUGACUUCUGUGACUUUUUGAAAAGUUUGUCUUAUUUCAGUUUCCUCCAAUAGGCUUCCAUCUCUAAUUUUAACUAAUGGCUAUAUACUAAACUACAGCUAUAAUAGUGUAGCCUAACAUAUCUAGCUUAUUUAUUUAUCACAACUUUUUUCAUCUUAUGUUCUAACAAUGUUAUUAUAACAGGCCUACAAUUCAACAUGAACUAUUAAAUGUCACUGGGGAAACGAUUCACAUCUGACAGCUUACAUCUCUCCAUGUCAACUGUUGUUAUGCACAGACUCUACUUCCUUAUGAAUAUAAAUAAUUCAAUGGAUACAUCUGUAUGACUUUGGUGGCCCUUGUAAUUGGCUCAGUAGUAGUGUAUUUUUUUUUAUAUUAUUUUAUCCAUCUUAUGUACAUUUUUGUCACUUUUGUUUCCAAACAUCCAUGAAGUUGGAUAAGCUUCACUUUUUACUGAUUGGGGAAUGCAAUGUAGGUGAGAAAUAAGACACACAAUGUGAUGUAAUGGAAUUUACUUUGUUCUUUUUGGUAAGUGGUGGGUGUCUCUUGAAAAAGCAGUUUGAUUUCUGAGUGACAUUACGAAGGAGAGUAGGAUCAGACGUUGUUCUGCCAUGGAACGCACCCGUUUUCAGAGAUGAGGUACUCCAUCAGUGUCUCCCUCACUAAUUUUGCCACCCUGGUUGUGUUGUUGCCCCCUGCCUGGGUGACCUGCAGGCCUGCUCUUGGACGCCUCUCCUCCACCAGGGUUGACCUUUGCGACCCCUUGCCCUGGAAUUUCCUCUUGUUGUAGUUGUGCAGGGCACAGAUCGCUCUCACACAAGCCUCCACAUUCUCCGGCUUCAAAGCUAUCAUUUAAUGUAAUUUAAUCUUAAGUAAUAUGUCAGGGAGGUUGUUGUAACAUAUCUCCAACUCCUCCAGUCCUGGUAAAUGGAUAAUAGUGAUGCACUACUGUCACGCCCUUACCGUAAAUUGUUUGUAUGUCUAGGUUUGGUAUUUCUAGGUUUUGGCUGGGUAUGGUUCUCAAUCAGGGACAGCUGUCUUUCGUUGUCUCUGAUUGAGAACCAUACUUAGGUAGCCUGUUUUCCCACUGUCAGUUGUGGGUGGUUAUUUUUUAAAUCUAAAAUUACACUUAUUGUUUUUUUUUAAUGAGAGUACUCUAGCAGUAAUUUAGUACCUCUCUUUUAUUUAUAUAGUACCAGUCAAAAGUUUGGACACACCUACUCAUUCAAGGGUUUUUUACAGGUUUUUUAUUUUUUACAGGUGAACAUGGUUAGCAGAAUGCAAAGAGUGUGCAAAGCUGUCAUCAAGGCAAAGGUUGGACAUUUUGAAGAAUCUCAAAUAUAACAUAUAUUUCGGUUUUUAAAAAAACAAACACUUUUUGGGUUACUACAUGAUUCCGUAUGUUAUCUCAGAGUUUUGAUGUCUUCACUAUUCUACAAUGUAGAAAAUUGUAGAAACAAAAAAAACCAUUGAAUGAAACUUUUGACUGGUACUGUAUAUAUUCAUAUACAUGUUGUACAUGUAUGCUGGCCUUGUGUGGCUUGCUAUGUCAACCUCUUUGUCUAACAAAAGCUGUUGUGGUUGGAAAUAACAUCCUGUACUUCACAAUUGUGAAGAAAACAGCGUCUUUAUGAGAAAAGUGUCUUUAUGAGAAGACCUAUGUUUGAGAGAUGUGAGAAGCCAGCUGUUGACACCAGCCUAUGUGAUUCUCAGUGGUUGGAAAUGUGGUUUCUCACAUUCAUGGUAAACCCAUGCACAGAAAUACAGAUAUAGUCUGCAAGGAUGACAUGUAAGAAGAAUCCGUUACAAUAGACACUGUAUAGUCAUAUUUUUCUUAAUUAUGUACAUUUCUCAGCGAUAAUGAACUCCAAAGUUUGUAAGAUGUUUUUGGUCCUCAAAAGUAGUCUAAUUUAAAGUGGUCUAAUAUUUAGUAGUAGUAGUACAUUAAGUAAUAGCAAGGUGGUGUGGAUAGCAAGUACAACACUGGAAGCAGAAUGAAUUCAAACAGGGUUUUAUUGCCAAGCACUGUAACUAACACAUGUGACUUACCAUUCCACCAUUUUCCCAACAACAGUACGUUGCAACACAUUUAAGGAACGAGCCCCCAUGAUACCUGAAUAUUAGUUUAUUAUCAACAGAUCUGCCUCGUUUUCUUAUUUUAAUAUUAGAAUAGUACUUUUAUAUUUACUUCUUGUGGUAAAACUGUUGGCACCUUCUGAGUCAGACCACACAUCGCUCUACCCUUAAAAUGUGUUGCAUCGGAUACCUACCUUUGCCUCUUUGACCUUUGUUAGAGAAGUGUAAUGUACUGUAGGUCAGUUCCUCAUCCUCUGUCUGUAAGGGAAAAAAACUGUGUCAAGUAGGAAAUUACACCGGAAGAGAAUAUAACGCAUUGAAUAUAAACCACUGUUGUCAUAAAUAACUAUAUUCCAAAUAUUAUAGGACCUGAAAUCCCAACCUCAACCAAAAUAGCAUUAGCAUGCCAACCUCUCUCACAGAGCAUCAAAUAGCGCAGGGGGGAUUUCCACUAAGCUAAAUAGAAUUGUUUUAAUAAGGUCAUAGGAAGGAUAAUUUUGCUAUUUGAUUAUGAAUUUUAAGACCCCUUGAAGUAUCCCCCCCCCAAAAAAGGAACAAAAAUAUUCAGGAUUUUUGUCCUUACUUGUCACGCCCUGGUCGAAGUAUUUUGUGUUUUUCUUCAUGUAUUUGGUCAGGCCAGGGUGUGACAUGGGUUUUUGUAUGUGGUGUGUAGUUUAGUGGGAUUGUAGCUUAGUGGGGUGUUCUAGGAGAGUCUAUGGAUGUCUGAAGUGGUUCUCAAUCAGAGGCAGGUGUUUAUCGUUGUCUCUGAUUGGGAACCAUAUUUAGGCAGCCAUAUUCUUUGGUUGUAUUGUGGGUGAUUGUCCUGAGUGUCUUGAUGUCCUUGUGCUGUGUUAGUUGACACAAGUAUAGGCUGUUUUCGUAUUGUUUUGUAGUGUUUGUGUUUAUUCGUGUUUACGUUGUUUGAUUAAACAUGGAUCGCAAUAUACACGCUG